rnacentral:sRNA from 1 species
CAAUCUCUAUAAAGGAAUCUGCAGCUUAUAAAGCUGUGAAUGCACUUCAGUCAGUAUACGGGGUACGAUACAGAUAUGGACCAGCCUCCACAACAUUGUAUGUGAGCUCUGGUAGCUCAAUGGAUUGGGCCUACAAAAAUGGAAUACCUUAUGCAUUUGCUUUCGAACUACGUGACACUGGAUAUUUUGGAUUUUUACUCCCAGAGAUGCUCAUCAAACCCACCUGUACAGAAACUAUGCUGGCUGUGAAAAAUAUCACAAUGCACCUGCUAAAGAAAUGUCCCUGAGACAGCCCAAGGCUCAGGUCAACUGCCAUAGGAUUCUGAGCAAGGCCUACUUGGCCCUGGAUAGAAACUGUUUUCAAAGAGAAGGGCAGCUGCUUAGAGUGAACAUGUGUAUGGACCUUAAAAAGACCCCACGCAAUUUGACUUUGUGGCAAUAGAACACAGUAAAAAACAGGGCAUAGCCUAGUUUGUUAUAAGAAAAAGCAUUCCAUUUUCUAUCCUUUUAGAGUCUUACUUGAUUAUGGGUGGGAGGGAAUGUUUUCAAAUUUCCCAUUUCUCAAGAAAUGUUCAUAUUAAUUGAGGAUUUGCCUUCAAUAAAUCUCAUGUCCUCAGUUAAGAUCUAGGCUAGUAAUGAUGUUUAAUUACUUGGUUCUCAUUGGAAAUGGAAAAUUAUGAAAUGGAAAAAAACAACUAUGUUUCUAAUAAAUAAACAUAGGCCGGGCACGGUGGCUCACGCCUGUAAUUCCAG